rnacentral:misc_RNA from 1 species
GAUGAAGAACGUAGUGAAAUGCGAUAAGUAAUGUGAAUUGCAGAAUUCAGUGAAUCAUCGAAUCUUUGAACGCACAUUGCGCCCCCUGGUAUUCCGGGGGGCAUGCCUGUCCGAGCGUCAUUACUGCCCUCAAGCGCGGCUUGUGUGUUGGGCCUUCGCCCCCCCCGGGGGCGUGCCCGAAAGGCAGUGGCGGCGCCGUGCCCGGUCCUCGAGCGUAUGGGGCUUUGUCACCCGCUCUGGAGGCCCGGCCGGCCGCCGCCGACCCGCCCAGACCUUUAACCGGUUGACCUCGGAUCAGGCAGGGAUACCCGCUGAACUUAAGCAUAUCAAUAAGCGGAGGA